ACCACGCUCGCUCUGUAGGGCCAGGCCCGGUUGGGACCGCUUGCAGCAAAGGCAAUGUGUACGCCUCUGGAGAUAGUUUAUGUCACUUUCGAGCCCCACUCACUCCAACAGUAGAACUAAACUACCUGGUCUUACAUGGAUUCUGACACUUGGCACGUUUGGCAAAUGAAUGAAUGAUCCAGUCAAUCAAUGAGUGAAUGCACGCAUGCUGAUUUAAAUUUCAGAAGAUUGUUACUGUUCAAAAGUAACUAGAUCAACAAGGGACCUCAAAGUUCUGGAGGCUGGAAGUCCAACAUCAAGGUGCCGCCAGAUUCAGUUCUUGGGCGCGGCCUGCUUCCUGACUUGCAGAGGCUGCCGUCUAGUGGUAUCCUCACCUGGCAGAGGCGACUGGUGAGAGAGAGAAGAAAAGGAAAAGAGAGGAAUUUCAAUCCCCUGGCAACAUCUCUGUGCUCCUAGAGAGAGGGACAGGAAGCAAAUCAACCAUUGUUGGACAGAGCACAUUAGUGGCUCUGGAUAGGGAACAGUGGAGAAGGAGCCAAGCAGGGGAAGAAAGAUUAAUUCCUUUCCAAUUAACAGGAGUCUGAAGUGACUGCUGUGGUAACCAGUUCCAGAGCAGGCUUUGACCAAUUUCACGCAAGUGCCAUCUGACUGCACCUCUGCCAAGCCCAUGUUGCUGGUGUCCAGGCUGCUGCCCCAGAGCUCUGACUUCAUAGUAUGGAAUGACUUUGGGAAUCCACUCAACACUCACACAUGUGCGACCCAAAAUGUGGGAGAAUUAAUGCCAUGUGGGGAGCCACCGCAUAAAUACUUCCAUCUUUCUGAAGUGUGCUGUCAGGAUAGUUUGAGACACAUUUCAUAAGGCUUCUCAGAAGGUCCUGUGAGAUUGAGCACCCAGUCAUUCAUAGCAGUGGUCAACUCAGUAACGCAUCCUUAUAUUGUCUCUCCUUCAUUCUACGAUUCAUUUUCCCCCAGCAGUGUGCUAAACUGCUCAUAUGGAUUGGCAAGAGCCAAUUGUUAAAUUUCAGGAAUUUUGCAAUUUGGUGAGUAAACACAAACACCAUUUUAAAUUAAAUUAUAUAAGCUUAAAAUUAAGUUACAUUAAAAGCAAGUAUUGGGGCCAGCCCAGUGGCACAGCAGUUAAGUUCACGCAUUCCAUUUUGGCAGCCCGGGGUUUGCCGGAUCGGAUCCCGAGUGCGGUCCUUCACACUGCCUGUCAAGCCAUGCUGUGGCAGGUGUCUCACAUAUAAAGUAGAGGAAGAUGGGCACAGAUGUUAGCUCGGGGCCAGUCUUGCUCAGCAAAAAGAGGAGGAUUGGUGGCAGAUGUUAGCUCAGGGCUAAUCUUCCUCACACAAAAAAAAAGAUACGUAUUCAGGAUUUAUCAUUUUCUAAUUAUUUUAAUGCAUCUUAUUAUCAUCAGUACUCUUGAGUUAUUCAUAUCUAUUGUAUCUGUUUGGUGGAAAUACUGUAUAAUGGUGUGCUAUGUUACAUCUCUUCCCAAGUUUCCGUUCAGCGACAUUGGCAUCUUGAUAUCAGCCAUGGUGGAAGUAUUACAUCACAGAAAUAGGCAAAUACUACAAAAGGAUUUGAUUGUUUUGUUGCUUAUUUAUACUUAAGAAAAUAAGGGAGAAAAUGUUAAUAAUGUAGAUUAAACUUAGAAGUCAGUCGUGUCUCUAACAGUUGCAUUGUGAAUGACACAAAAAAUUGUGUUCUAGACUACUAUUCAAUUCAGCAAAAAAGUCACUCAGGACAUUGAUGAAUGAAUGAAGUUGACAUAGGUCUUAGUUUCAC
rnacentral:lncRNA from 1 species